rnacentral:rRNA from 1 species
CAUGCAAGUCGAACGAGAGAUGAGGAGCUUGCUCUUCAAAUCGAGUGGCGAACGGGUGAGUAACGCGUGAGGAACCUGCCUCAAAGAGGGGGACAACAGUUGGAAACGACUGCUAAUACCGCAUAAGCCCACGGCUCGGCAUCGAGCAGAGGGAAAAGGAGCAAUCCGCUUUGAGAUGGCCUCGCGUCCGAUUAGCUAGUUGGUGAGGUAACGGCCCACCAAGGCGACGAUCGGUAGCCGGACUGAGAGGUUGAACGGCCACAUUGGGACUGAGACACGGCCUAGACUCCUACGGGAGGCAGCAGUGGGGAAUAUUGCACAAUGGGGGAAACCCUGAUGCAGCGACGCCGCGUGGAGGAAGAAGGUCUUCGGAUUGUAAACUCCUGUUGUUGAGGAAGAUAAUGACGGUACUCAACAAGGAAGUGACGGCUAACUACGUGCCAGCAGCCGCGGUAAAACGUAGGUCACAAGCGUUGUCCGGAAUUACUGGGUGUAAAGGGAGCGCAGGCGGGAGAACAAGUUGGAAGUGAAAUCCAUGGGCUCAACCCAUGAACUGCUUUCAAAACUGUUUUUCUUGAGUAGUGCAGAGGUAGGCGGAAUUCCCGGUGUAGCGGUGGAAUGCGUAGAUAUCGGGAGGAACACCAGUGGCGAAGGCGGCCUACUGGGCACCAACUGACGCUGAGGCUCGAAAGUGUGGG